UGCAAGUCGAGCGGAAAUUUUAUUGGUGCUUGCACCUUUAAAAUUUUAGCGGCGGACGGGUGAGUAACACGUGGGUAACCUACCUUAUAGAUUGGGAUAACUCCGGGAAACCGGGGCUAAUACCGAAUAAUACUUUUUAACACAUGUUUGAAAGUUGAAAGACGGUUUCGGCUGUCACUAUAAGAUGGACCCGCGGCGCAUUAGCUAGUUGGUGAGGUAACGGCUCACCAAGGCAACGAUGCGUAGCCGACCUGAGAGGGUGAUCGGCCACACUGGGACUGAGACACGGCCCAGACUCCUACGGGAGGCAGCAGUAGGGAAUCUUCCACAAUGGACGAAAGUCUGAUGGAGCAACGCCGCGUGAGUGAAGAAGGAUUUCGGUUCGUAAAACUCUGUUGCAAGGGAAGAACAAGUAGCGUAGUAACUGGCGCWACCUUGACGGUACCUUGUUAGAAAGCCACGGCUAACWACGUGCCAGCAGCCGCGGUAAUACGUAGGUGGCAAGCGUUGUCCGGAAUUAUUGGGCGUAAAGCGCGCGCAGGUGGUUCCUUAAGUCUGAUGUGAAAGCCCCCGGCUCAACCGGGGAGGGUCAUUGGAAACUGGGGAACUUGAGUGCAGAAGAGGAUAGUGGAAUUCCAAGUGUAGCGGUGAAAUGCGUAGAGAUUUGGAGGAACACCAGUGGCGAAGGCGACUGUCUGGUCUGUAACUGACACUGAGGCGCGAAAGCGUGGGGAGCAAACRGGAUUAGAUACCCUGGU
rnacentral:rRNA from 1 species